UACGAAGGGGGCUAGCGUUGCUCGGAAUCACUGGGCGUAAAGCGCACGUAGGCGGAUUGCUAAGUCAGGGGUGAAAUCCUGGAGCUCAACUCCAGAACUGCCUUUGAUACUGGCGACCUUGAGUCCGGGAGAGGUGAGUGGAACUGCGAGUGUAGAGGUGAAAUUCGUAGAUAUUCGCAAGAACACCAGUGGCGAAGGCGGCUCACUGGCCCGAUACUGACGCUGAGGCACGAAAGCGUGGGGAGCAACAGG
rnacentral:rRNA from 1 species